CCACCACCACCUCUAAUGCUCCAUCAACCACCACCACCACCACUAAUGCUCCAUCAACCACCACCACCACCAACCCGACCACCACUACUACUCAGUCAACCAUCACCACCACCACCACUGCUCCGUCAACCACAAGCAUAACCACAACAACUCCAUCAACAACAUCAACAACGACUACCGCAGCGCAGAAUCCGUGCAACUGUAGCUUCACGUCUGAAUGUUGUUAUGAAGGAGUGCAGUGUCGGAUAAGACCGCAAGCUGGCAACGAGUGCGGGGUGAACUACUGUCCUUGUAUCGACAGCUACACCUGUGUUGAUGGGUACUGCAGUUAACAACAAAGCCCAAGAACGCCCAGAGCAUCAUUACUCAGAGCUCAACCUUCCACCUUCCUGAUCACAGACUGACAUUUGACCUCUGAAACAAUUGUGAUAGACGGAUCGACAUUCUGGAAUGUCAUGGCAUUCAUAGCUAUCCUAAUGAACAUAGUAACGUCCUUGUUAAUGUCUGUCUUUCUCAUUAUUUAUUAGUUUUCUUUUUUGUUGUUGUUUGUUUUUUUAGUAGUCUGUCUCCUGACUAUAAAAUAUAUGUGUGUGUGCGUGCGCGCGCAUGUGUUAGUCUAUGUAAUUGCGUGCCUGCACAUGUCUUUAUGUCGAAGAUUCAUUAUGUAUCUUAUUAAUAGUAUUUCAAAGUAUUUAUAUGUACAAAUUAUAUUCUAAAUCUGUUUACCGUUGGCAUUCGGUUGUCAUCGGGAAUAAGUAAAAAGUUCCACAACUCGCCACAGUAAACAGUCCAAGAGGUGGAAUGAUCUGUAGUUGCUUCCCUUUCACUUUAAUUACCUGUGAUGACUGAGUGUUCGCCACACCUUUGACAGAGAUGAUGUCUGGCAGAACUACAGUCACCUCCACUGGGACCCGGACUUUCACAGACUUUGGAGCAGAGGAAAGAGAGACGGAGAAAGUAUCCAAGAUGGUGAUGAAGGCAGAGUCUGACUGUGGAAGCCGGUUACUGGGGGAACAUGUGUCAACAAUAACAACACAUUCUGUUUAUCGUCCUGUUUCUUUCCCUGCAUGUCUGUUUUAUAUGUGAUAUUAUCCUUAACCUUUAUAUAUAUAUACUCACACCUAUUAACACCUAAGCUUAUGCAUACACACAAAAUCGUAUAAAUGCUCAUUAUGAUUAUUAUGUGCACACAUCAAAUAAAUGAGUGUUUGGUCUCAAA